rnacentral:rRNA from 1 species
UACAGAGACUGCAAGCGUUAUUCGGAUUCACUGGGCGUAAGGGUGCGCAGGCGGUUGGGUGUGUCAGAUGUGAAAUCCCGAGGCUCAACCUCGGAACUGCGUCUGAAACUACUCGACUAGAGUACUGGAGAGGGUAACGGAAUUCACGGUGUAGCAGUGAAAUGCGUAGAUAUCGUGAGGAACACCAGAGGCGAAGGCGGUUACCUGGACAGUUACUGACGCUCAGGCACGAAAGCAUGGGGAGCAAAAGGG